GUAUCUGGCUGAGGUCUGGGCGAUUUUUACGAUCUAACUUCUAGAUAAAACCCUAUCCAUUUGACAUCUUAAUGUCACAGCCACUUUUGGUAUACUUACUUACUUUUGCUAGGGGUAAAAUAUGUGUGUGCGUGUGUUUCUGUCUGUCUGUGUGCCUUUGUGUGUUCACGAGAAGGCGAGAAAAUGGGUUGUUUUGGGAAAUGACAACUCACACCCUCUCAAAACCCUUUCAGAAGUAACCCAAGAGUUCGGGGCACUAGGAAGAACUUUUUGGAAGAAAAAAUAAUAAUGGACUCACGUCGACCUGCUCAACACCCUGGAAGAAAAUGAUCCCAAUCGAACUGUUUGUGGUACUAAACUUCCUAAAAUGACCGGAUUCAUCUAGCCAAAAAACCCUCACGUAAGCUGUCUUUUUUUUCCUCCUGGAAUAGUAUAGAAUAAGCAUGAACAUUAAAAGAAUAUAUACAUAGAAUAUAUAUACCUAUAGAAAAAAUAUAUAGAAAAACGUAGAAUAUGGAAAAUGCAGCUACCUUCAGUUGAAUGCUGCAGGAAUUCACCUUAAACCCUAUAGCCAGGUGACAAAUAUUUCUCAAGACUCAUUUUAUGGUACACAUCCCUUCCUUCCUUCCUUCCUUCCUUCCUUCCUUCCUUCCUUCCUUCCUUCCUUCCUUCCUACCUACCUACCUACCUACCUACCUUUCCUCCCUCCUUAUUUAUGGAAAUAUACAUUCCUCCUUACUUAUGGAAAUAUUUACCAAUAUAUCCACUGCAGUCUCACACCGUCUAAUACUCCACCCAUUUAUUUUGCUAUCCCUUUAAACACAGGGAAAGAUGGGCUUUUAAGAAAAACAUAAGACAAAAAUAUAAAUGGAUUGCCUUACCUUUGGAAGCUCAUCCGUCUGCGAGUUAGAGGAGGAGGAAGAAGCGGAGGAGGAGAAGGAGGAGGGGGGCGAGUUGCGUUUGCUAUUAUGUGUAAGCUGACAAAUAUUGUCCCAACCUGAUAGCCGUCCAUUGCGACUAUUUCCCCCCCUUUUGCCGCGUCCUUUUGCACAGAAAAUGGAGUAACUUCCCUUUUAUGAAGAAUGACAAAAGCCUCCAUCCGGUGCAGAGCCUCUCUCAGUCUCAGAGAACCCAAAAUCAAAUAUGGAAAUUGAACCUACAGAAUUAAGAAACGGAAAGGGCGGGGAUUUCAGUAUAUUAGCAAUCUAAACCCUCUCCUAGAUCUAUCUCUGUGUGUGUGUGUGUGGGUAAGAGAGAGAGCUUGCUCUUCUUCUCCUCGUCUAUUUUUAGCCCUAUCCAGCUUAUACAUGAAACUAAAAAAAAAAAAAAGAUAA